UACGUAGGGGGGCAAGCGUUGUCCGGAUUUAUUGGGCGUAAAGAGCGUGUAGGCGGCCUUACAGGUCAGCUGUGAAAACUCGAGGCUCAACCUCGAGACGUCGGUUGAAACCGUAUGGCUAGAGUCCGGAAGAGGAGAGUGGAAUUCCCGGUGUAGCGGUGAAAUGCGCAGAUAUCAGGAGGAACACCGAUGGCGAAGGCAGCUCGCUGGGACGGUACUGACGCUGGAGACGGCGAAAGCGUGGGGAGCGAACAGG
rnacentral:rRNA from 1 species